GAUGAACGCUGGCGGCGUGCCUAAUACAUGCAAGUAGAACGCUGAAGCUUGGUGCUUGCACCGAGCGGAUGAGUUGCGAACGGGUGAGUAACGCGUAGGUAACCUGCCUCUUAGCGGGGGAUAACUAUUGGAAACGAUAGCUAAUACCGCAUAAAAGUCGACAUCGCAUGAUGUUGACUUGAAAGGUGCAAUUGCAUCACUAAGAGAUGGACCUGCGUUGUAUUAGCUAGUUGGUGAGGUAACGGCUCACCAAGGCGACGAUACAUAGCCGACCUGAGAGGGUGAUCGGCCACACUGGGACUGAGACACGGCCCAGACUCCUACGGGAGGCAGCAGUAGGGAAUCUUCGGCAAUGGACGGAAGUCUGACCGAGCAACGCCGCGUGAGUGAAGAAGGUUUUCGGAUCGUAAAGCUCUGUUGUAAGAGAAGAACGAGUGUGAGAGUGGAAAGUUCACACUGUGACGGUAUCUUACCAGAAAGGGACGGCUAACUACGUGCCAGCAGCCGCGGUAAUACGUAGGUCCCGAGCGUUAUCCGGAUUUAUUGGGCGUAAAGCGAGCGCAGGCGGUUAGAUAAGUCUGAAGUUAAAGGCUGUGGCUUAACCAUAGUACGCUUUGGAAACUGUUUAACUUGAGUGCAAGAGGGGAGAGUGGAAUUCCAUGUGUAGCGGUGAAAUGCGUAGAUAUAUGGAGGAACACCGGUGGCGAAAGCGGCUCUCUGGCUUGUAACUGACGCUGAGGCUCGAAAGCGUGGGGAGCAAACAGG
rnacentral:rRNA from 1 species